rnacentral:rRNA from 1 species
CAGCCGCCGCGGGAAUACAGAGGGUGCGAGCGUUAAUCGGAUUUACUGGGCGUAAAGCGUGCGUAGGCGGCUUCUUAAGUCGGAUGUGAAAUCCCUGAGCUUAACUUAGGAAUUGCAUUCGAUACUGGGAAGCUAGAGUAUGGGAGAGGAUGGUAGAAUUCCAGGUGUAGCGAUGAAAUGCGUAGAGAUCUGGAGGAAUACCGAUGGCGAAGGCAGCCAUCUGGCCUAAUACUGACGCUGAGGUACGAAAGCAUGGGGAGCAAACAGGAUUAGAUACCCCUGUAGUCCCUGUCUCUUAUAA